rnacentral:misc_RNA from 1 species
GAUGAAGAACGUAGCGAAAUGCGAUAAGUAAUGUGAAUUGCAGAAUUCAGUGAAUCAUCGAGUCUUUGAACGCACAUUGCGCCCCCUGGUAUUCCGGGGGGCAUGCCUGUCCGAGCGUCAUUGCUGCCCUCAAGCACGGCUUGUGUGUUGGGCCGCCGUCCCCUCUCCACUUCCCCUACUGGGGGGAGUGGGCUUGGGGGGGGGCGGGCCCAAAAGGCAGCGGCGACAUCGCGUCCGGUCCUCGAGCGUUAUGGGGCUUUGUCACCCGCUCUGUAGGCCCGGCCGGUGUUGGCCGACGCUUCGCACCGAAGCAACCCAAUUUUUUCUUCAGGUUGACCUCGGAUCAGGUAGGGAUACCCGCUGAACUUAAGCAUAUCAAUAAGCGGAGGA